rnacentral:sRNA from 1 species
CAUCAUCACCAUCAUCCUGACUAGUCUUUCAGGCGAUGUGUGCUGGGAGACAUUCAGAUCUUCCAGUGGUGCAUGAACGCAUGAGAAAGCCCCGGAAGAUCAUCUUCCGGGGGCUUUUUUU